UACGUAGGGUGCGAGCGUUGUCCGGAAUUAUUGGGCGUAAAGGGCUCGUAGGCGGUUUGUCGCGUCGGGAGUGAAAACCCAGGGCUUAACUCUGGGCUGGCUUUCGAUACGGGCAGACUAGAGGCAUGCAGGGGAGAACGGAAUUCCUGGUGUAGCGGUGAAAUGCGCAGAUAUCAGGAGGAACACCGGUGGCGAAGGCGGUUCUCUGGGCAUGUCCUGACGCUGAGGAGCGGAAAGCUAGG
rnacentral:rRNA from 1 species